UUGGGGGCAAGUCUGGUGCCAGCAGCCGCGGUAAUUCCAGCUCCAAUAGCGUAUAUUAAAGUUGUUGCAGUUAAAAAGCUCGUAGUUGAAUUUCGGGGUUAGUAGGUUGGUCAUGCCUCUGGUAUGUACUGGUCUCACUGAUUCCUCCUUCCUUAUGAACCGUAAUGCCAUUAAUUUGGUGUUGCGGGGAAUUUGGACUGUUACUUUGAAAAAAUUAGAGUGUUUAAAGCAAGCUAACGCUUGAAUACAUUAGCAUGGAAUAAUGAAAUAGGACGUUCG
rnacentral:rRNA from 1 species